CGUUGCUGGCACUCUAUGUGUAUGAUUAGGGGUCAAGAUCAGUUGAGGUGACGUGCUGGGCUGUCAGGAUGGGAAUGAAUGGAGAGGUCUCGAGCAGUAUGAAGUUUUGAAAUCUGGAGAGGAUUCGUUCGUUAACAAAAUGAAUGUUGAGGUCUUUGUGGACAGUGAGAUUGUCAGCUUGCUUUUCAUUGAAAUGUUAGAUUUGCGCGACAGUAGAUUGUAGAGUAGUCCGAAACGUUGGUUCCAGAUUAGUCUUGAGUCUAGAUGGAACCUAAGGUAGCACACGCAGUCUGAUUUUGGAAUCUUUACACGGCAGUGCUUCAACCGUUCGGCUAUUUUCAUGACUUAUUUGAAGUUCCUCCGAAGCAGUUGUGCCAUCGGGAUGAGAGGAUAGCACAGCUGUCUGAAAUAAAUGCAAGAAUGGUGGAGAGUAAAGUUGGAAUUUCUGUAGUCUAGAGGAGGUAAAGGAUCAGUCCAAAUAAAUGGCCUUGAGGUACUCCUGCGUCCAGAUAUCCCUGUACAUAAAAGUAAAAAGAAGUACAAAAGGAUUUCUCGUCAUACGGAAAAACCUAGUAUUCAACUUGUAUAUCGUGGUAACAAAAUUUCCAAUUAGAACGAUUGCAAUUAUUUACUAAAAAAACGAGAGUGGCUACUUUUAUGCAUAUUAUUUUUUAUGCGUAUAAAAUCUCAUAUCUGAAUCAUAUUUAUCAUCUGUGGUCUGUUGAUCGUAAAUAUAAAUGUUCAGUUUACAACACUCAAAAACUAAACCAAUAUAAAACAGGGUACUUUUUUGUUCAUUUCACAUUACACCCCAUUUGCCAGAUUAUACGAGAGGAAUAAAUAAUUCCGAAAACGCAAAACGAUUUAUAGCCCUGCAACAAAGGACUAAAGGGGCGGCAAAAAAUAUUAAAUCCGCUAGGCAACAGGGAGGAAAUCCGUUUCUAUUUUUAAUUUUUCAUACUUUCAGUACGCAAUAGGUAUAAACGGUCAAAGGAAAACUAAUUUUUUCCAUUGAAACCUCAAUUUACUUUAUUCAAAAGCAGACUGUGUAUUUGAGUAAUCCGAAAAUAGAAUAUUUUUUUACAAUGAUUUACAGAAUCAAGCUAUAAAACAAGAAGUUGAAAAAAAUCAAAGGGGCCUCGGUUAAAAUCAAAGUUAACUUUACAAUAUUUAAUAAGAACCCCCGUUGAUAUUU